AAGAAACCAACAUUGUUACAUUACCUUAGACUAAACUCCAGCCCUGCCCACAGCCCCCGGCUGCCCACGCACUGUCCGGGAAACCAGCAGCAAAUAGGCGGAAGAACCAUCCACUGCCUGCUCCCCAGGGCUGCAGCAAGCAAGGUGGAGCCAGAGACCACCACCAGGACACAAUUGGAGAAACCGGUUAUUUUACCAAAGCUUUGGAAUGGUGUACUUUCCCUUAAGGAAUCAAAUAUGACUUAUGGAAACAAUAAAAGUCCCUUGGGAAAACUGGCCUCAUACCUUGUCUACACAGUUUCUGUACAGGAUUCCUGACCUGUGAGAAGGAAACUAAGCCUCAAGGUGGUUAUGGUACAUUGCCACUAAUAAGAGGCAGACCUGGGGCUCAACCUGCAGUUGUCUGACUCUAUAGAUGGCAAAAACUUACUGAAGAUGCUCUUUUGGGAGAUGGAUCAAGCACUGUGUUUUAUGAAGUUGAACAGAGAGAAGUUGGGAACGUGAUUCUCCAGGCACCAACAUCUUCCUCAAAAGUAUUGUUUACCUUAUUGUCCCUACUUGGUCCUUGAAGAAACAGAGUGUGUGACCCUUGCUUCCAAUCUUGUCCUCUUUCUAGCAUACCACGGUAUCACCUCUUUGAUAUUAUUUUAAUUCCUGUACCUACUUGAAGGAGCAUGCUGUUGAAAUGACUUUUAUAAUCUCAGCAAGAGCCCUACAGUUCAUAAACAUAAGGGCACAAGCUUCCUCCCACUUUAUGUGAUAGCUCAGUCUAGCAGAUGGGUUUUCCUGAAUUAUUCAUUUGUGACUAAUUUGUUUAGUAGCAUCUAUGUACUCAUAUCCCAUCUCUCUUAUGAGUGAACCUAAGUGCUUUGGCAAACUAUUUUAUUCUAUAAUCAAAGAAUGAAAGAUGGAGUCAACUUUUGAUGGUUGGCUUAUAUUUAAGCAGUUGCCCCAAACUUGCUAAUUCUUGGUUUCUCUUUCCCUACUCCAUAGACAUACACCAACCAUGAGUUGUGUAUCCAAAUCUCAUCUUGAGUUGUAGCUCCGAUAAUUCCCAUGUGUCAUGGGAGGGACCUAGCAGGAGGUAAUUGAAUCAUGGGGGCGGGUCUUUCCUGUGCUAUUCUCGUGAUAGUGAAUAAGUCUUAUGAGAACCUGAUGGUUUUAUGAAGGGGAGUUCCCCUGCAUGCACCCUCUUGCCUGCCAUCAUAUAAGACAUCCCUUUGGUUCUCCUUUGCCUUCCACCAUGAUUUUGAGGCCUCCCUGGUCAUGUGGAGCUGUGAAUCAAUUAAACCUCUUU
rnacentral:lncRNA from 1 species